AUGAGCGCGGCGGUGAUGUGCUCUGCCCGCGACGUUCAUCAGCACUUGCACAAUGAGAACUGCUUGAGCACAUUCAAACUGGUACUGGUGUGCCAGGAAGAUUUCGCUAACCAAACAAAGGUAUCUGUUUGCCUCUACGACUCCAAGUCUAAUACAUGGGGCGAUAUUAUAUCCAUAACGGAUACAUGCAAGAUUGCUAAUGUGGCAAGGCCCAGUGUCAUGGUUGGGAAUGCACUUUACUGGUUGCUCUCUGGAGCAAACAUCCUUGAGUUUGAUUUUGAAAGGCGGACCCUUGUUGUGAUUGAGAAGCCGACAACAUAUGCCCAUGUUACUGGUUCUAGCGUCGACAUGUGCUUUCAGAUCUUACGAGGAGAAGAUAAUUGCCCUGGCCUUGUGGUUCUUUCAAAGUUAAAACUGAGCAUUGAGUUAUGGGGGAGGAAGUCAAACGGUGAUGGUAUUGUCUCAUGGGUGCUGCAGAAAUGUGUUCAACUGGACGAGCUCUUUUCAAGACCCGCGCGCAGGAAAAAUGUCAUCCUGUUGGCGGGGUAUGAUGAGGACACAAAUGCGAUAUUUCUGUCUUCGGAUUCUCAUGAUUUCAUCCUCCAGCUCGAGUCGGUGCAGUUCAGAUAUAUUGGAAGGAGAGAAUGCACACACUUCAGAAUGUAUUAUCCGUAUACAAAUUUCUACAUUGCAGAAUGGUCAUGUUAG
rnacentral:rRNA from 1 species